rnacentral:rRNA from 1 species
UGCAGUCGAGCGGUAACACAGAGAGCUUGCUCUCGGGUGACGAGCGGCGGACGGGUGAGUAAUGUCUGGGAAACUGCCUGAUGGAGGGGGAUAACUACUGGAAACGGUAGCUAAUACCGCAUAACGUCGCAAGACCAAAGUGGGGGACCUUCGGGCCUCAUGCCAUCAGAUGUGCCCAGAUGGGAUUAGCUAGUAGGUGGGGUAAUGGCUCACCUAGGCGACGAUCCCUAGCUGGUCUGAGAGGAUGACCAGCCACACUGGAACUGAGACACGGUCCAGACUCCUACGGGAGGCAGCAGUGGGGAAUAUUGCACAAUGGGCGCAAGCCUGAUGCAGCCAUGCCGCGUGUAUGAAGAAGGCCUUCGGGUUGUAAAGUACUUUCAGCGAGGAGGAAGGCGUUAAGGUUAAUAACCUUGGCGAUUGACGUUACUCGCAGAAGAAGCACCGGCUAACUCCGUGCCAGCAGCCGCGGUAAUACGGAGGGUGCAAGCGUUAAUCGGAAUUACUGGGCGUAAAGCGCACGCAGGCGGUCUGUCAAGUCGGAUGUGAAAUCCCCGGGCUCAACCUGGGAACUGCAUUCGAAACUGGCAGGCUAGAGUCUUGUAGAGGGGGGUAGAAUUCCAGGUGUAGCGGUGAAAUGCGUAGAGAUCUGGAGGAAUACCGGUGGCGAAGGCGGCCCCCUGGACAAAGACUGACGCUCAGGUGCGAAAGCGUGGGGAGCAAACAGGAUUAGAUACCCUGGUAGUCCACGCCGUAAACGAUGUCGACUUGGAGGUUGUGCCCUUGAGGCGUGGCUUCCGGAGCUAACGCGUUAAGUCGACCGCCUGGGGAGUACGGCCGCAAGGUUAAAACUCAAAUGAAUUGACGGGGGCCCGCACAAGCGGUGGAGCAUGUGGUUUAAUUCGAUGCAACGCGAAGAACCUUACCUGGUCUUGACAUCCACAGAACUUUCCAGAGAUGGAUUGGUGCCUUCGGGAACUGUGAGACAGGUGCUGCAUGGCU